AAAGCCGUCCUGUGUUACCUCUUUGCCGAGGCACACGUUAAAGAUCGUUCCGCGUUGUGAGUCUAACACCAGUUGUAACACUUUUACAACCGGUAGCGCUGGAUCCCUUGGCACGUCAUUCGAUGAAGACCGUUGCAAAUUGCGAUAAAGUGAUGUGAUGCGCAAGUCCACCACUUAUACGUGAAUCAUCGAGUUGUUGAACGCACUGCACCGCGCCCUAAUCCGGCUGCGGUAUGCCCCUUUGAGCGUCAUUGUAUCCCUUCGGGAGUCUUUUCGUUAAGACCCGAGUUCGGAGUCCUCGGUCUUUGGAUCGUGUUCUCUUACAUGCGUCGCGCCGAUCGCCUGAUGGGUCACUCUAAUGCCUGAGCGUGGAGUCCCUCGGAGCUGA
rnacentral:rRNA from 1 species